rnacentral:sRNA from 1 species
AGUUUUUCUACCAACGACCAAAAACUAAAAAAAAA